GAGGAUGCAGGCGGCUCUAAGGAUUUCAAAGAAUUAACGCAGGGACAGGGAAGCAAUAAUGUUAUUGUGACUUCGGCCCAUCGUGCGAUUCUACGUCAGAGCUCCCAGGAAACACAAAGGGUCCCCAGUGUAGUCCAGUCCUGCAUUUCCGUCUCCCUGGGAGGGGAUUUCCCGGGUCUCAUCGGAGUUCCUGGAGUGUCAGCCGGACCCGAAGAUCCCGGAGGAUGCCUCUCCAUCCCGCCUUCCCCUUUAAGUCAAGAUGAUGGAGGCGAGAAGGAGCAACUGGACGACCUGCCGAAACA